CUCUCCUCACUAGUCAACACAUUUCCAUCUCCAUCCUUUAUUGCUCUAACUUAGCUUUUGCUACAUCCCUUUUACCUGCUGCCACAUCUCAUUGUUCUCCUGACUACUUGUCUUAUCUCUCUGCCCACUCAUCCAGCACCUCUUCACCACCACGGAGCCCCUGUCUGACCUCUUCCCUAAACCUCACACUACAGUCUUCCUAUUUUAGUUUACACUAUCUUGUUCUUUUUUUCAGUCCUCACUCUCCUCCUUUUCUUCUUCACCUCAAAAGCCAUCCUACAAACCAUCAUCCGAUACUGUCUAGCUAUGCUCUCUCUGUAGACGUCUUCCUCUCCUCCUUCUCAUCCUUUGGCCAACAAUAGCCCAAUUUCCACCAAUACCCUGUUGGCUGACAAUACCUGUGGCAGUAGUUGGUAACCUGGCAAAUCCGGUAUGCAAUUCUGAUUCGUGAUCCACAUAUUUGAUAACGCAACCCUCCCCAUUUAUCCGGGCUUGGGACUGGCACUAAGAAUGCACUGGCUUGUGCAACCAUAAUGGCUGGGUUGGAAUUUACUCAUAUACUGCAUAUAUUAAUACAUUGAUUUUAGUUAUAGAUAGUGUAAAAGCAAAAAAAGUACUAUACAUAAUGUAAACAUUUCUCCCUAUUAUAUUUUCAAAUAGGCUUUUACAUAGAUUGUUGCUGCACAGACUAAAGGAGGCUUAAAUGUGAGCACAACAUAAUAUUCUCUGAGAUAAUUAAAGGUAUAAAAUAUGCCUUUCGUCAUUUAAAAUGUAAUUUAAUAUUUUUUUUAGUUGUCAUUGCAUUAUUCAUUUUUAGCUCAUUGUAUGUUCACCCCUAUGCGGUAACGAUGUUAAAUAAGUUUUGACCUCUGUGGGUUUUCACAGGAAGGAAGUGUUCCGUUGAUGGGCGUGGUUUAAAUAUUAGCAUGCUAAUGUUAUCAUUAGCCAAAUAAUUUCCCAAAAAAUGCCCAAUUUUUUACCUAUUUUAUUUGUGGGGCAAAGUUUUGUUCCAUGUUUGAAUUAAAAUAAUAAAUGUUUAUUUAAAUAGUUAGCCACUCUUUGGUUAAAGAUCCAUCCGUGCGCCUUUAUGUCUGAAGUUUUUUUUCAGUUUAUUUAUUUGUUUGUAGCUCUUAAUUCACCUUGUGCAGAAUGAAAUUUCCCAUGAUGCAGUGCUCUGAAUGCUCUGUCAUUCACCAUGAUGGUAAAGUGUGUGUGUGAUGGUGACGGCGCUCCACAGUCCGUUUCAACUCAUACUUACCUGGCAGGGGAGAUACCAUGAUCAAGAAGGUGGUUCACCCAGAGCAAGGCUCAACCAUUGCACUCUGGUUGUGCUGACCCCUGCGAAUUCCCCAAACGUGGAAAUCUCGACUGCAUAAUUUAUGAUAGUGGGGGACUGCGUUCGCGCUCUCCCCUGAUUUCACUGGUGAAGAAUAGAUAUAAGUUUCUCGUUUGAUUAGUAUAUAAUUU